GAACCGGUCGCGGAACCGGUUUCGGAACCGGUUAGGGUUCCAAAAGGAACCCCCCCCCCCCCCCCCCCCCCGCUCGGCGCUCCAAGCCUCCAGCCUCCUGUCCUCUGUAUCUUCCUCAGUCCUCCGAUUUCAGCUGGACGCCGCUCGCCCUCAAGGCCACCGCCACCGGACGCUGCUCACCCUCAAGGCCACCGCCGUCGGACGCCACUGGUCUGGACUGGACGCCAGUCCCCGACGUCGCUCGACGCCCGCAUUCGCGACACUUGAGUCGUCGUUGCCCUGAAGACCUUGACUGACGUCCCUGCUCACUCCUCAGCGCCGGCCACCGUCGCCGAACGCCGCUGGACGCCAGUCCCCGACGUCACUCGAGCCUCGACGCCCGCAUUCGCGAAUCGCCAGAAGCUGACCGACCUUGACCGACGUCCCUGCUCGUGACCGGCCGUUGCCCCGAAGACCCUGACCGACGUCCCUGCUCGUGACCCACGCCUCUCGCGCCAGAAGCCCCGACGCCCCUGCUGCUGCAACGAACCAGAAGCCACUGCUUCGCCAUUCCCGUUCGGCACCAGGUUCCCUCUCUCUCUCUCUCUCUCUCUCUCUGUGCAACUGAGCAUGCGUUCGUGAUUGCGCUUCAGUUCCGGCUCGCGCGCACUGCUUGGUGGGACCGAUUGUUUCGUAAUCGAUUGCAAGUGGGUGUUUAUCUGAUUGCCGAAAUGCUUCGGGUGCUUACAGAAUUUCUGGGUUCUACCUCCGCGGGGCUGGGUUUGCGCUUUGUAAUGGAACUUGUUGCAUGACUCAUUUUGGGCUUUUUUCCUUAUUGGAAGCUGAAACUCCGUUUUUGCGUUGUGGGUUCUUCUGGAAAAGAGAAAUUGGUUUAGUUGGUGAAGUGUUGACGCUUUCUCUGUGAGAGUCUCGCGCGUCCGGGUUGACUGCUUGGUGGGACCGAUUAUUUUGUAAUUGAUUUCAACUGGGGUGUUUAUCUGAUUACUGAAACGCUUCGGAUAGUUGCAGAAAUUUUGAGGGUCUGCCUCCGCGGGGCUCGUUCGUGCUUCCCGUUCUGCGUGUAAUGGAGCUUGUUGCAUGACCCCUUUUGGGCUUUUUUCCUUACUUGAAGCUGAAACUUCGUUUUGGGUUGUGGGUUCUUCGGGAAAAGAGAAAUUGGUUUAGUCGGUGAAGUGUUGAAGCUUUCUCUUUCUCUGCAAGAGUCGUGCGCUUCUGGGUUGAGAUUAAUGAUGCUUCCCUUAUUGAACUUUGAAAUCCGAGUCUCGCAUUCCAUUGUUGUAUUGUUUAUCUGAUUACCGAAAUGCUUCAGGUACUUGCAGAAAUUUGAGGGUCUGCCUCUGCCAGGCUGGUUUUGCGCUUCCUUUUCCGCAUGUAAUGGAACUUGCUGAAUGACCCCUUUUGGGCUUUCCUUAUUCGAAGCUGAAACUUUUUUUGCUUUGUGGGUUCUUUGGGAAAAGAAAAGUUGGUUUGGUUGGUGGAGUGUUGACGCUUCCCAGUUGAGAUUAGUGUUGUUUUCGCUUAUUGGACUUUGAAACCCGUGUCUUG
rnacentral:lncRNA from 1 species